rnacentral:rRNA from 1 species
AAUAGAUACCCAGGUAGUCCACGCCGUAAACGAUGAGUGCUAGGUGUUAGGGGUUUCAAUACCCUUAGUGCCGCAGCUAACGCAAUAAGCACUCCGCCUGGGGAGUACGGUCGCAAGACUGAAACUCAAAGGAAUUGACGGGGGCCCGCACAAGCGGUGGAGCAUGUGGUUUAAUUCGAAGCAACGCGAAGAACCUUACCAGGUCUUGACAUCCCGCUGACCGCUCUGGAGACAGAGCUUCCCUUCGGGGCAGCGGUGACAGGUGGUGCAUGGUUGUCGUCAGCUCGUGUCGUGAGAUGUUGGGUUAAGUCCCGCAACGAGCGCAACCCUUAUCUUUAGUUGCCAGCAUUCAGUUGGGCACUCUAGAGAGACUGCCGUCGACAAGACGGAGGAAGGCGGGGAUGACGUCAAAUCAUCAUGCCCCUUAUGACCUGGGCUACACACGUGCUACAAUGGUUGGUACAACGGGAUGCUACCUCGCGAGAGGAUGCCAAUCUACUUAAAACCAAUCUCAGUUCGGAUUGGU